AACGAACGCUGGCGGCAGGCUUAACACAUGCAAGUCGAGCGCCCCGCAAGGGGAGCGGCAGACGGGUGAGUAACGCGUGGGAACGUACCUUUUGGUUCGGAACAACUCCGGGAAACUGGAGCUAAUACCGGAUAAGCCCUAACGGGGAAAGAUUUAUCGCCGAAAGAUCGGCCCGCGUCUGAUUAGCUAGUUGGUGAGGUAACGGCUCACCAAGGCGACGAUCAGUAGCUGGCCUGAGAGGAUGAUCAGCCACACUGGGACUGAGACACGGCCCAGACUCCUACGGGAAGCAGCAGUGGGGAAUAUUGGACAAUGGGCGCAAGCCUGAUCCAGCCAUGCCGCGUGAGUGAUGAAGGCCUUAGGGUUGUAAAGCUCUUUUGUCCGGGAAGAUAAUGACUGUACCGGAAGAAUAAGCCCCGGCUAACUUCGUG
rnacentral:rRNA from 1 species